GAUGAACGCUGGCGGCGUGCCUAAUACAUGCAAGUCGAGCGAACAGACGAGGAGCUUGCUCCUCUGACGUUAGCGGCGGACGGGUGAGUAACACGUGGAUAACCUACCUAUAAGACUGGGAUAACUUCGGGAAACCGGAGCUAAUACCGGAUAAUAUAUUGAACCGCAUGGUUCAAUAGUGAAAGACGGUUUUGCUGUCACUUAUAGAUGGAUUCGCGCCGCAUUAGCUAGUUGGUAAGGUAACGGCUUACCAAGGCAACGAUGCGUAGCCGACCUGAGAGGGUGAUCGGCCACACUGGAACUGAGACACGGUCCAGACUCCUACGGGAGGCAGCAGUAGGGAAUCUUCCGCAAUGGGCGGAAGCUUGACGGAGCAACGCCGCGUGAGUGAUGAAGGUCUUCGGAUCGUAAAACUCUGUUAUUAGGGAAGAACAAAUGUGUAAGUAACUAUGCACGUCUUGACGGUACCUAAUCAGAAAGCCACGGCUAACUACGUG
rnacentral:rRNA from 1 species